GCAGUAUAGGAUGGUCCCGGCUCUGAUUAGCUGGUUGGCGGGGUAACGGCCCACCAAGGCGACGAUCAGUAGCCGGCUUGAGAGAGUGGACGGCCACAUUGGGACUGAGACACGGCCCAAACUCCUACGGGAGGCAGCAGUGGGGAAUAUUGCACAAUGGGGGAAACCCUGAUGCAGCGACGCCGCGUGAGUGAAGAAGUAUUUCGGUAUGUAAAGCUCUAUCAGCAGGGAAGAAAAAAGACGGUACCUGACUAAGAAGCCCCGGCUAACUACGUGCCAGCAGCCGCGGUAAUACGUAGGGGGCAAGCGUUAUCCGGAAUUACUGGGUGCAAAGGGUGCGUAGGUGGCAUGGUAAGUCAGAAGUGAAAGCCCGGGGCUUAACCCCGGGACUGCUUUUGAAACUGUCAUGCUGGAGUGCAGGAGAGGUAAGCGGAAUUCCUAGUGUAGCGGUGAAAUGCGUAGAUAUUAGGAGGAACACCAGUGGCGAAGGCGGCUUACUGGACUGUCACUGACACUGAUGCACGAAAGCGUGGGGAGCAAACAGGAUUAGAUACCCCGGUAGUCCACGCCGUAAACGAUGAAUACUAGGUGUCGGGGCCGUAGAGGCUUCG
rnacentral:rRNA from 1 species